AGAACCAAAAAAAAAAAAAAUAAUAACUGGUUUUGAAGAGUUCCGAUGAAACUGUCGCAUUAAUAGGACCUUUUGUUAAUUUCCAGCUACUGACAGUCUUUAUAAACUGUCUCUGCAAACACUCAAUGCAGACAUUUUCUUAAAACAACGUCAGACCUCGCCAACACCGGCCUCUCCUCUGCCCACUGCUCCCUGCCCUUUCACAUCCCGUGGCAGCUACAGCAGCGUUGUCAACAGCUCCGGCAGUGACACAAAAGCAAAGCAGCCAAACGGUAGCAAGAGCAAGCUGACAAAGGCGGCCUCUCUCCCGGGAAAGAACGGCAACCCCACCUUUGCUGCUGUCGCCGCAGGCUAUGACAAGAGCCCAGGUGGGAAUGGAUUUGCUAAGAUCUCGUCAAACAAAUCAGAGUUUUCCAGCAGCCUUGGCAUUUCACACAUUCCUGUGGACAGUGAUGGCUCUGACAGCUCGGGUUUGUGGAGUCCUGUCAGCAACCCCAGCAGCCCUGACUUCACCCCCCUCAAUUCGUUCUCAGCCUUUGGGAAUUCCUUUAAUCUAACGGGUGUUUUCAGCAAACUGUCGCGAUCCUGCAGUCAGUCAUCCCAGAGGAGUUGGAAUGAGCUCAGCAGCGGCCCCUCCUACCUCUGGGACGCUCCAGCAGCAGACCCCAGCCCUUCCUGGCCAGUUCCAGCCAGUUCCAGCUCAACAACCCACACAGCCACCUCCAUCCUGGGCAACACCAGUGGCCUGUGGUCCACCACUCCAUUCAGUAGCUCAAUCUGGUCCAGCAACAUCAACAGCAACCUUCCGUUCUCCACUCCAACAAACACGCUGUCAGGCAUCGGCCUCAUGGGCACGGAAAACUCCACCCCUGCCCACGCUCCUGCCUCCAGCCCAGCGGAUGACUUGGGACAGACCUACAACCCCUGGCGGAUAUGGAGUCCUACGAUCGGGAGAAGAAGCUCUGACCCAUGGUCUAAUUCACACUUCCCUCAUGAAAAUUAAAAUUAAGCAAAAAUCGAAGUGGGGGCCUCUCUAGAUCAUGAUCUGCCAGCUUCCCAGCCGUCUGUCCUCUGGAGGCCCUUAUGCUCGCCCUCCUCCCCCUCGCGGGCAGGGCAGCCUUGUCCACUCGCUUCUCUCACGUCUUUCUCGCAAUUAUGAUACCCUGAGAUUUGCUGUUGUGCUUGUAGACAAAAGUCUGGACGCAGCCACAAACUACAACCUGUCAUCUGAAAUCUUGACUUUCCAGUUCCCCACCGUCUCUUCCUGCCUUCUUUAUCAUAAGAACACAAAUUUGGCAUUGCAGUUAAGGGAGAAAUUUGAACUGAUUGACA
rnacentral:lncRNA from 1 species